GGUUUCAUGGCAUAAUGGUUUGAGUGUUGGACUACGACUCUGGAGGGCAGGGAUCGAAUCCCGGCUCAGCCA